rnacentral:misc_RNA from 1 species
UGAAAUAAUAAUAUUAUGAGGGAAAAACUCUUGUUUUCAGGAUUUACUGUUGCUACUGUCAAUAAUCAUUGCAAUAUUCAUAUUCGUGAAAAAUCUUUAGUCUUUCUACCUCAUUGUCCUCGGGAGCUAACUAAUAAUCUGCUCUACACAAACCUUAAAUCAGCUUCAUCAACAUCGUCAUCAACUUCAUCAUCAUCAUCAACAUCAACAUCAACUUCAUUAUCUACAUCAUCAUCAUCAAAAUCAACGCCAUCAUCAACCUUACCUUCAGCAGAAACCUCAACUAAACUCGCUUCAAAAUCUUCAUCAAAACCAACUGAAUCAUUUUUAUCAACUUCUUCCUCAAAAUUAUCUUCCUCCUCAACUAUCUCAAAUGUAAUUCUAAUUUCAAAUUCAAUAUCCAGCAUUUUACUCAGAACCCCAGCCAGGGAAAUUGAAACAUCGGCCAAAAUCCUACAGUUAGUGUCUGCUGCUGGUCUCGUCAAAGAAACUUCAAUAGAAAACAACUUCAAGUUCCCUGAUAUCUUCAAUGAUCUUAGCCUGCAUCUGUUCGAAGAGCCUUCAGCUGAUUUGAUCCAAGGAAUCUCCGCCCCUGUAUAUAGUUCUACAUCAGAGUUUAUAAUAUAGUGAUCAAUUAAAUGAGGGUUCAGGAUCAACUAUAUAUAUUUAUAUAUAUAUUUUUAGUUAAACUUCAUCUAAUUAUCUUACCCGUCUAUACAAAUGCCAAGGGAAUUACUUUUCUCAAGUUGAAACUGACUGACAGUGGAAAAUCUUGAUAAAACUUGGAUGGUUAAUGUAACUGGUACAUUACCAUCACAUUAUUUAACUAUUCCCUGCCCUUUUUAUAACAAUUUUUUUCAAAUAUAAAUUUUGGGCUUUUUCACGAUUUUCAUUUGUAUGAAUCUGUGGUAUUUCUAUUUUUAUUAUUUUCAGAGCUCUCUGUUUAUCUAUGGGAAAAGUAUCAGGGAUCCGGAAGCCGCCAGAAAGUCUGAUUCGUAUGAAUUUUCUUCACAAGGCAGCAGAACUGGUAUCUGUUAGCUGUCCUAUUCUUGCAGCUGGGCUUUGUGGUCAACUGAAACAAAUUAGUCAAAAAUCUCAAG